rnacentral:lncRNA from 1 species
ACGGUGCGCAGAGCGCUCAGGAGGAACACGGAGCGACAGCAGAGGAUCUAGAGAACGUCUUAGGGAGAACAGUGUCAAGGAGGCUGUGAGCAAAAUCCGGACUGAAAUGAAUCCACGUGUACAUCUGUAUAGAAAUCAUGUUAGUCUGCCAAGCCGAAUGGGAGGUGCAGCAGAGCGCUGGGAUAGGACGGCUAAGUGCCCUUGUGCUGUAUUUACAGAAUUGGAGAGCACCAUGCUGAUUGCUGUCUCUGCACAUAUCCUACUAAGAAUUAUGAAACAUGAACAUUAACUAAGAACCUUCUAGUGAUAAAUGCUGAAAAUAAUUCCAUUGCAGACUCCUCUGGAGGUGUGAUGGAACGGCAAGAAAUGGCCUUAUAUUUAAUGUUGUUAUAGGUAUCCCAGAGCAAUAUCUGCUCUUUCCCGCCGCUCCUCCCUUUUCACCAUUUCCUUCCUUGCACGGUUUCGUGUUAUUGAACUGCAUACUCUUGGGGGACAAAGUAGUGGCUCAGUUCUGUGACACUUAAACAAGUGCCAUUGCUCGUCAUCUUUGGUGAAAUACUGCCACUGCGCUGCUGCAGCUCUCGGAGCAGGGCGGGCUCUGGCCUUUUGGGAAGGACAGCCUUUGCGCAGGCCUGCCUUUGAAAUGGGUACAAAUAUUGAACCACCCUCUGAUUCGGCAUGGCGUGGCACUCAAUUUAGUCUUGGCAUCAAACUACAGACCACCUGGCCUUGCAGCCUCUACGCUCUUCUCCUUGUUGUGAAAGCAUAAUUGCUAGCACAGUCACGCACUGAACUGUUUGGGGGAAAAAUAACAUGUGGCUGAAAGUGAACCUUCCACCUUGGGUCAUUUUUCUGCUAUGUUAGUUCCUUGUGAAAACACACAAGCAGCAGAGUUAUCACAACACAGGGGCACGAAAAAUAAGCGUAGAGCAGUCAGGGACUGCGGAGGCAGGCAAGCAGCAGUCGUGCUGAAUGAGGGAACCAUAGCCCAGGCGACACAUCCACAAACACUGCUCUGAGCUGCACUUCUGAGUCCCAGCUCAGGCUCUUAAGAACAAAGACGUUAGUUCUCUCAUUUCAGUGUGCUUUCCCUUUCUCCUUUUCCCUUCUGCUCCUGCCACUCACUGCCCCACUUAUGUUGGCUUGUUUGUUUGCAAAUAAAGCUUAGUACAAGUUUUCUAAAACA